rnacentral:rRNA from 1 species
GACGAACGCUGGCGGCGUGCUUAACACAUGCAAGUCGAACGGAAAGGCCCUGCUUUUGUGGGGUGCUCGAGUGGCGAACGGGUGAGUAACACGUGAGUAACCCGCCCUUGACUUUGGGAUAACUUCAGGAAACUGGGGCUAAUACCGGAUAGGAGCUCCUGCUGCAUGGUGGGGGUUGGAAAGUUUCGGCGGUUGGGGAUGGACUCGCGGCUUAUCAGCUUGUUGGUGGGGUAGUGGCUUACCAAGGCUUUGACGGGUAGCCGGCCUGAGAGGGUGACCGGCCACAUUGGGACUGAGAUACGGCCCAGACUCCUACGGGAGGCAGCAGUGGGGAAUAUUGCACAAUGGGCGGAAGCCUGAUGCAGCAACGCCGCGUGCGGGAUGACGGCCUUCGGGUUGUAAACCGCUUUCGCCUGUGACGAAGCGUGAGUGACGGUAAUGGGUAAAGAAGCACCGGCUAACUACGUGCCAGCAGCCGCGGUGAUACGUAGGGUGCGAGCGUUGUCCGGAUUUAUUGGGCGUAAAGGGCUCGUAGGUGGUUGAUCGCGUCGGAAGUGUAAUCUUGGGGCUUAACCCUGAGCGUGCUUUCGAUACGGGUUGACUUGAGGAAGGUAGGGGAGAAUGGAAUUCCUGGUGGAGCGGUGGAAUGCGCAGAUAUCAGGAGGAACACCAGUGGCGAAGGCGGUUCUCUGGGCCUUUCCUGACGCUGAGGAGCGAAAGCGUGGGGAGCGAACAGGCUUAGAUACCCUGGUAGUCCACGCUGUAAACGGUGGGUACUAGGUGUGGGGUCCAUUCCACGGGUUCCGUGCCGUAGCUAACGCUUUAAGUACCCCGCCUGGGGAGUACGGCCGCAAGGCUAAAACUCAAAGGAAUUGACGGGGCCCCGCACAAGCGGCGGAGCAUGCGGAUUAAUUCGAUGCAACGCGUAGAACCUUACCUGGGUUUGACAUGGAUCGGGAGUGCUCAGAGAUGGGUGUGCCUCUUUUGGGGUCGGUUCACAGGUGGUGCAUGGCUGUCGUCAGCUCGUGUCGUGAGAUGUUGGGUUAAGUCCCGCAACGAGCGCAACCCUUGUUCACUGUUGCCAGCACGUUAUGGUGGGGACUCAGUGGAGACCGCCGGGGUCAACUCGGAGGAAGGUGGGGAUGACAUCAAGUCAUCAUGCCCCUUAUGUCCAGGGCUUCACGCAUGCUACAAUGGCUGGUACAGAGAGUGGCGAGCCUGUGAGGGUGAGCGAAUCUCGGAAAGCCGGUCUCAGUUCGGAUUGGGGUCUGCAACUCGACCUCAUGAAGUCGGAGUCGCUAGUAAUCGCAGAUCAGCAACGCUGCGGUGAAUACGUUCCCGGGGCU